AAAGACGUAGCUUGCUGGGUACUCGAGUGGCGAACGGGUGAGUAACACGUGGGUGAUCUGCCCCUGACUUUGGGAUAAGCCUGGGAAACUGGGUCUAAUACCGGAUAUUCACUUUCUCCUGCAUGGGGGUUGGUGGAAAGCUUUUGCGGUUGGGGAUGGGCCCGCGGCCUAUCAGCUUGUUGGUGGGGUAAUGGCCUACCAAGGCGACGACGGGUAGCCGACCUGAGAGGGUGAUCGGCCACACUGGGACUGAGACACGGCCCAGACUCCUACGGGAGGCAGCAGUGGGGAAUAUUGCACAAUGGGCGCAAGCCUGAUGCAGCGACGCCGCGUGAGGGAUGACGGCCUUCGGGUUGUAAACCUCUUUCACCAGGGACGAAGCUUUUGUGACGGUACCUGGAGAAGAAGCACCGGCCAACUACGUGCCAGCAGCCGCGGUAAUACGUAGGGUGCGAGCGUUGUCCGGAAUUACUGGGCGUAAAGAGCUCGUAGGCGGUUUGUCGCGUCGUCUGUGAAAUUCUGCAGCUUAACUGCAGGCGUGCAGGCGAUACGGGCAGACUUGAGUACUACAGGGGAGACUGGAAUUCCUGGUGUAGCGGUGAAAUGCGCAGAUAUCAGGAGGAACACCGGUGGCGAAGGCGGGUCUCUGGGUAGUAACUGACGCUGA
rnacentral:rRNA from 1 species